rnacentral:lncRNA from 1 species
AAUGUCCGUCUUAAUUACUUUUUAUCCGAGACGUGAUUGAUCACAAAGGCAUGCAAAAUACAUAAACAAUAAUUGAACAUUGGCAAUAGAAUUUCAAAAAUCGUUUAAAAAACACAUUUUCAAGUGCUUGGUAGGCAACUUGUUUAACUAUAAGCAGUUCAAUUACAGGAGUUUAAUAGCCAAUAUUAUAUAAAAAAAAUAAAUUGGGAACCACUGGGCAUUCUUAUCAAAUAUUGCCAGCGGAACAUACGUGUUAUCAAUAUUAAAUUACUAACUAAAUUUUGAAUUUACCUGUAUUUAAUAUUACUUGUACUAUUAUAAAUUAAUAUUUAUACAACAUCCAUUUUUUUUCUCUUACAACUAGAACAUGAUUCACAUCGAAGAAGAAAUCGCUCUUCUAAAUUUUUUGAACCAUGAUUAUUUUCGACCGGUUGUUUACGAGAACAGCCCAAAUAAACAAUUCACUGAUGAAGAUGAAGAAAUACCAGAAAUAUCAGAAACUUACUGAGUGAUUACAGGCAUUCAACAUGGAUCAAAGGUUUAUGUUGAUUUAGAUAUUACAAGCACUAAGCCAUAACCAACCGCAUAGGUAUAGGUAGUUUGUGAGCAUCAAAUAAAUUGGGGUUUUAAGUUUUGUUUUUGUAGAUAAUCAGUGAAUGAAGAACUCAUUGACAACAGGAUUACCAUUAACGCUAGAUAUCAACACAACCAUGGACCUGCAAAUACAAAUGUAGAUGUACCUUUCUUAAAAGAAGCGAUUGGUGCAGAAGCCAUCAAUCCUGAAAAUAUGUCUGUCUUAGUUAGGACUGUACAGCAGCAAUGUAAUUGUUGAGUAUGUUAUUGAGUUAAUAUUUUAUUUUAAGUACUACCUAUUUUUAAAAAAUUUUUAGCUUAUAUAUUUGUACUCGCAGUUUGGUAACUUGAAAAAUUUAUAUGUUUAAGUAUGAUAAAAUUGUUUAGCCUUCUUAAAGUUACUUAAUAUCAAUAGGUACUGUUUCCUCUAAUUUUAUAAUAGAAAUUAUGUUUAUUUGGUAUAUUUGUUAUCUUAUUAUACCAAAAAUAUAUGCUUUCUGUUAUAAAUUAAAUUAGUUUCUAACUAUGAAAGUGUUCAUUAUUAAAAAAUAAUACUUCCAAACAUAGAAUUUUAUACUCAUUGUAUAGUAAAUUUUUCUUUUUAUAUGUAAUGGUAAAUUUUUCUUAUUACAUCACCUAGUGUAUAGAGAUGUUAACUAAUGUCACAUCAAAUAAAAAACAGAAUAAUUGAAAAUAAAUGAAACAGGCUUAGAACUUUUUAAAUUGUAUACAUAUAAACUUUAAAUUGUGAUUUAAUAUGCAUAAUGCAUAUUAGGAAUUUUUAUUUAGCUAUUAUAUUUAUAAUUGUAAUUUUUUUGAUUUAGACAGGUACCUAACACAUUUAUCCAUUCACCACUUCAAUUAGUAUUAUUAUUGCUAACAACUACACAUAUUUGCAAGCCCAGAGAAAAUGUAAGAGGAUAUGUAGGUCAUGUAAUCCAGAUGGCAGACACAUACUGAAACAUCCAUGAGCUCACUGAAGCAUUGACCCAACCAGAGAAUACUGCCUACAUUUACACACUUCAAACACCAUCAUCCACAUUUUUCCAACAAGAACUAAUUAUCAAUGAAACAAGUAAAGGAGUCAUUUUUGCAAACCUGGACGCAAUUUAAAUAUUCCAAGAAAGUUGUCCACAGUUACAACGGUUGGAAUUGAUGGAACUCUUAAGGCUGUUCCUGCAACUCCAACAGACUUGAAAAAAGUUUCCUGGCUUUUCAAGUAGUAUUUAAGUGUGUGUUAUUCCCAAUGGUUUAUGUUCGUCUCAGAAGUCGGACAGAGAAAACAUGUACAUUAUGUAACUAUUGUACAGCAAAUUUUACCUCUUCAUUAUAAUUGUAUUCCAUUAUUUGAAAUCUAUUAGUUGAAAAAUAAAUAAAAUUGAAAAAUGAAUUAUUUCAAGAAUUAAAAUUCAGUAAUACUUACUUAAAGAUAAAAAUGUUUUUUGUAAUUUUUGUAAUUACACGUAAUGAUUUGUCUAUAGGUAGUUUCAAUAGUUUUUGUUUGUAAAUAACUUUCUACAACACAAAUCAGAACAUUUUACACAGAUAACCUUUUUCUGAUGCUUAGAUCCACAUGUAAUCAAAUGUAGUAUUAAAUUUGUUUCAUAACUAAAAAAUUCGAUACACCUAGUACAUUUUAGCUGUUCCAUGUCAAUAGUCAAUAUUGUUUAAAUGAUCCUAACAUAGUUUUGUUAAGAUAUUUUAUUCACAAAAACAUUAUUCUAAUCUUAAAAUUUGAUUUCCAUUCUUUUGAAUCUUUCUUGAAAAAAGAAAAAUACAAAUUUCAAGUAAAAUUAACAGCCUGAGGCCCUAGGUUUGCUAAACCUAUAGUAUUAUAUGUCCCCCUAUGGAUUUAAAAUAUAAAAUAAAUUGUUCAGUAGGUACAUCUAAAUUAAAUUAAAAGAUUGUAAUAUUAUUUUUUUAAUUAUAAAUUAUAAUAACGAACACAGUAGAUGUUGAACCAAUUAUCCAGUUAAAAAUGUAAAAUUGAGUGAAUUGUUGAGGAAAACUGAAAAAAAUAAUGAAAUUUACUAUACUCAAGUGAAUAUACUAAAUAGGUAAAUGUUGUAUUUAAUUACAUUAUUAAUUAUUGAUUUAUUUAUUUUAAGAUCAAGAUAUAAUCAACUCAUCCAAUAUUGAAGAAGUAUGCGGGUACUGAAGAUUUAGUGAAGAAAUAAUGAAAAUAAAAGAACUCUAAAAAAUUAGUUUUAUUUUGAAAAAAAAAUGUUAAACUGAGAACCACUUGUCAAGAACAUAAUACUGAAAUAUUUCAAAAUUAUAAUCAUAAUUCUUGAAAACUAGCAGCCCUAAUCUAAUAAUAUUCAUGCUAUUCAUGUCUUUAAAAAUCAAAAUUGUAAAAUAAUAAUAAUAAUACAUGAAAAUAACAUUUUACAAAUUGUUUGGUUUAUGUGCGUGCAGUACCUAAUUGUUUUUAUAUAAUUAAUGUCUUCUAACCCAUAACUGCUCAAAAAUGGCUGUAACCUUAGUUGUAUUUUAUAUUAUUAUGAUAAAAACUGUGGUAGAACACAUAAUUUAUGUAAGAAUUCGCUUUUUAAAUUACAGCCACAACCUGAGAAAACAUUUUUCGUAUGAAACGGUUUUGUUAACGUGGGAAACAUGUUAAUAAAGAUUUUUAUUUAUAAUUGUAAUUGUAUUCUUAGUUUUGUUACAUUC